rnacentral:rRNA from 1 species
UUUUGCUCAAUGGGGGAAACCCUGAAGCAGCAACGCCGCGUGAGGGAUGAAGGCCUUCGGGUUGUAAACCUCUUUUUUCAGGGACGAUGAUGACGGUACCUGGAGAAUAAGUCACGGCUAACUACGUGCCAGCAGCCGCGGUAAUACGUAGGUGACCAGCGUUGUCCGGAUUUACUGGGCGUAAAGAGCGCGCAGGCGGUCCUUCAAGUCGAGUGUGAAAGCCCCCGGCUCAACUGGGGAGGGUCAUUCGAUACUGAUGGACUCGAAGGCAGGAGAGGGAAGCGGAAUUCCCGGUGUAGUGGUGAAAUGCGUAGAUAUCGGGAGGAACACCAGUGGCGAAGGCGGCUUCCUGGCCUGUUCUUGACGCUGAGGCGCGAAAGCUAGGGGAGCAAACGGG